UACAGAGGGUGCGAGCGUUAAUCGGAUUUACUGGGCGUAAAGCGUGCGUAGGCGGUUUGAUAAGUCGAUUGUGAAAGCCCCGGGCUCAACCUGGGAAUUGCGGUCGAUACUGUCAGACUAGAAAACGGUAGAGGGAGGUGGAACUCCAGGUGUAGCGGUGAAAUGCGUAGAUAUCUGGAAGAACACCGAUGGCGAAGGCAGCCUCCUGGGCCUGUUUUGACGCUGAGGCACGAAAGCGUGGGUAGCAAACAGG
rnacentral:rRNA from 1 species